rnacentral:rRNA from 1 species
GUGUCAGCAGCCGCGGUAAUACGUAGGGGGCAAGCGUUGUCCGGAAUCAUUGGGCGUAAAGAGCGUGUAGGCGGUCCGGUCAGUCGGUUGUGAAAGUCAAGGGCUCAACCCUUGAAUGCCGGCCGAUACUGCCGGGCUAGAGUCCGGAAGAGGUGAGUGGAAUUCCUGGUGUAGCGGUGAAAUGCGCAGAUAUCAGGAGGAACACCGAUGGCGAAGGCAGCUCACUGGGACGGUACUGACGCUGAGACGCGAAAGCGUGGGGAGCAAACAGGAUUAGAUACCCUGGUAGUCC